AGCUUUGCACAGUGACAAUAUCAUAGCCAAUGAGGUUUAUCCGAGGUGUGAUUGUUGCUAAUUGAAAAGACCAGAUGACUGAAAUGCCUGGGGUUAUUUUUGCAUUUUCUACUCUGUUCCAUUGACA
ensembl:snRNA U4 U4 spliceosomal RNA